GACGAACGCUGGCGGCGUGCUUAACACAUGCGAGUCGAACGGAAAGGCCCUGCUUUUGUGGGGUGCUCGAGUGGCGAACGGGUGGGUAACACGUGAGUAACCUGCCCUUGACUUUGGGAUAACUUCAGGAAACUGGGGCUAAUACCGGAUAGGAGCUCCUGCUGCAUGGUGGGGGUUGGAAAGUUUCGGCGGUUGGGGAUGGACUCGCGGCUUAUCAGCUUGUUGGUGGGGUAGUGGCUUACCAAGGCUUUGACGGGUAGCCGGCCUGAGAGGGUGACCGGCCACAUUGGGACUGAGAUACGGCCCAGACUCCUACGGGAGGCAGCAGUGGGGAAUAUUGCACAAUGGGCGGAAGCCUGAUGCAGCAACGCCGCGUGCGGGAUGACGGCCUUCGGGUUGUAAACCGCUUUCGCCUGUGACGAAGCGUGAGUGACGGUAAUGGGUAAAGAAGCACCGGCUAACUACGUG
rnacentral:rRNA from 1 species